AUGGAGGACCGAACCGACCCCCGUUGAAAAGUUGGCGGAUGACUUGUGAUUAGCGGAGAAAUUCCAAUCGAACACGGCGAUAGCUGGUUCUCCCCGAAAUAGCUUUAGGGCUAGCGUUGAGCGAAUCAUCAUGGAGGUAGAGCACUGAAUUCAUGCGGGCGGCAUCUAGCCGUACCAAAUGAAAUCAAACUCCGAAUGCCAUGAAUGAAUACUCAGCAGUCAGACUGUGGGUGAUAAGGUCCAUGGUCAAAACGGAAACAGCCGAGAUCAUCAGAUAAGGUCCCAAAAUCUAUGCUAAGUGGAAAAGGAUGUGGAGACGCGCAAACAGCUAGGAGGUUGGCUUAGAAGCAGCCAUCCUUCAAAGAGUGCGUAACAGCUCACUAGUCGAGUAUCUCUGCGCCGAAAAUUAACCGGGGCUAAGCAUAGUACCGAAUCUAUGGAUUUAUAUUAUAAAUAUAAGUGGUAGGGGAGCGUUCCAAACAGCGUUGAAGGUAUACCGUAAGGAGUGCUGGAGCGUUUGGAAGUGAGAAUGCCGGUGUGAGUAGCGAGAUGUAGGUGAGAAUCCUACACACCGAUAGACCAAGGUUUCCAGGGGAAGGUUCGUCCGCCCUGGGUUAGUCGGGAACUAAGGCGAGGCCGAAAGGCGUAGUCGAUGAACAGCAGGUUGAUAUUCCUGCACCCACGUAUUAAAUGAUGGAGUGACAGACAAGGUUAGUUAGAGCCCUUAAUGGAUUGGGCAAGACGUGUGAAUAGAUGGUAUAUAGGAAAAUCCGUAUACGGAAAUCAAGACACGGCUCGAGUGAACACGCGAGUAAGUAAUGAAGAAAAUGAUACCAGGUCUCAAGAAAAGCUUCUAGUGUUAAUUAAUAAGUGGCCCGUACCUAAACCGACACAGGUGGUCAAGGCGAGUAGCCUAAGGUGAGCGAGAGAACUGUUGCCAAGGAACUCGGCAAAUUGAUCCCGUACGUUAGCUAUAAGGGAUGCUCGAAAGAGCCGCAGUGAAAAGGCCCUAGCAACUGUUUAACUAAAACAUAGCUCUCUGCUAAGUCGCAAGACGAUGUAUAGGGGGUGACACCUGCCCGGUGCUGGAAGGUCAAAAGGAUGAGUUAGGAGCAAUCCGAAGCUUUGAAUUGAAGCCCCAGUGAACGGCGGCCGUAACUAUAACGGUCCUAAGGUAGCGAAAUUCCUUGUCAGGUAAGUUCUGACCCGCACGAAAGG
rnacentral:rRNA from 1 species